UACGAAGGGGGCUAGCGUUGCUCGGAAUUACUGGGCGUAAAGCGCACGUAGGCGGCUUUCUAAGUCGGGGGUGAAAUCCUGGAGCUCAACUCCAGAACUGCCUUCGAUACUGGAGAGCUUGAGUCCGGGAGAGGUGAGUGGAACUGCGAGUGUAGAGGUGAAAUUCGUAGAUAUUCGCAAGAACACCAGUGGCGAAGGCGGCUCACUGGCCCGGUACUGACGCUGAGGUGCGAAAGCGUGGGGAGCAAAGCAGG
rnacentral:rRNA from 1 species